AAGUGGCCCAAAACCUAAAUAGAAAAUAUCUAGAUAUUUUCUGAAUAGUCUAGAAUGCUAAUUAAAUGUGCGUAAUCAAUGCCCAGUCAGAAAAUGCUAUGAAUCGUCUUGUCAUCUAAGUACCAUUUUUGCUUUUUCUUUCUAACGAUUCAUUUCUAACCCAUCAAGUACAGCAAUAUAGUUGUUUAUGAAGUCUACUAGUUGCUGCCCUGUACUGUUUUUCUGUUCAUGUAUUAUUCUGUUUCUUUCUCCCCAUAUAGUCCACAAUCCACAACAGAAAAGACAACUCUGAUGCGAAGAAAGCUAGUCAAAGAUGCAGGUAAUCCAUUGUAGAAAAUCCAUAUAAAGCUCCCGAAUAAUAUUCUGCAUUUUUAAUAGUGUCCAAACAUCCACUGUGACAGGGCAUUCACGAAAGAUAUGGUCGAUCAUUUCAGCUCUUUCUCCACAUCAAGGGCAACUUGUAUUGCUUACAAGUUUUCGAUGCUGCAUAUUAACCCUUGUCGGCAAAUAAUUCCAUGAGAUUUUCCAUAUUGUAAUCUUGAUUUUAUUUGGUAGAUUUAAGAGCCAUAGUUUUUUGUAGAAAUUUCUGUAGCCAGUUUGUAAUGCGUAAGCUCUAAGGAUUUCAUCAAAAGUUUGUAAUAGUUUAUAAGUGCUGUGGACUGAAAACUCGCCUGAAUGCUCGCCUCUCCAGACCAGUAGAUCAUCAUGAGGUGCGCUUGCUAAAGGUAUCCAGAGGAUUUUUCCAGCAUCAUCCUCUGAAAAGUUAUUGUUUAUAAAUUCUCUUUUCCAUGCUCUUUCAUUACUAUCGAUCAAUUCACUGACCUUGGCAUCUUGCAUAAAAUUAACAACUGAAGAUAACUUAAAAUUGACAGCAUCUGGAAUCCAAGCAUCAGCAUUUAUAAAAAUAUUUGUGCAUGUGCCAACCCUUCAGCACAUUCUUUUUUCCAAAACACCCUUCGCUGCCCAUAUGCUUUUCCAUAUAUAAGAGCUGGUUUUUCCCAAUCGAGACUUUAAGAAAUGAUCAUUCAGAAAAUAUUUUGCUUUAAAAACUUACGUAACUAAAGAGUCCUGAUUAGUAAUGAGCCUCCACCCUUGUAGCAAGUAGAGAAAUAUUGAAUUACGCCAUAUUUCUAAAUCCUAAUCCCCCCUCUUCUUUUGAUCGACACAUGAAUUUCCAUUGACACCAGUGUAUCCCUUUCCUACCUUGUCCUUUGUGCCACCAGAAUUUAGUGAAAAUAUUUUCUAACUCCCCUCAUAACGAUUUUGGUAGAAGGAAACAUGACAUAGCGUAAGUUGGAAUUGCUUGAAGAACUGAUUUUAUAAAUAUCUCAUUUCCCCCUUGUGAAAGUAACCUAGUACUCCAACUUACAAUUCUCAGCUUAAUUUUAUCUUUGAGAUUCUGAAAAGCUUCCUUCUUUCGCUUUCCUACAACAUUAGGAAGUCCUAGAUAUUUUUCCAUAUUUGUGGAGCUUCUCACAUUUAGCAAACUCGAUAUUUCUUCUUUCUCCUGUUCUGUUGUAUUUGUGCUAUAGAAAAUUGUUGAUUUGUUGUAGUUUACACAUUGACCUGAGCACUGUUCAUAUUCCUUCAAAAUAUCUUUGAAAAUUUCCCCCCUCGUUGUGUCGCCUCACCAAACAGUAUACAGUCAUUUGAAAAAAGCAAGUGCGAUUUUUCAGGUUCUCUUUUACUAGCUCUUACUCCCUUCAUCGAUCCCUCAUCUAUGGCCAUUCUUAUUAAAGACGAGAGUCCAUCACAGCAUAUCAAAAAAAGAAAAGGGCUGAGCGGGUCAUCUUGACGAAGCCCUCUAGUAGGCUUAAAAACCUCUCUUCUUCUCCCAUUGAUGUUCACUGUAUAAGAGACUAUAGAGAUGCACUUCAUGAUUAAUGUUACCCAUUCUAUAACAAAUCCCAUUUGAAGCAUAACUUCUUUUAAAAAAGCCCACUCAACUCUAUAGUAAGCUUUGCUCAUAUCUAGCUUAACUGCCAUCAGCCCUUUUUUCCCAUUCCGUCGUUGACUUAGCGUAUGCAAGAGUUCAUAGGCUACAAACACAUUGUCAGUAAUUAACCUUCUGGGAACAAAAGCACUUUGAACCUUAUCAAUACAUUUUCCAAUGACUUUCUGAAGAUGAUUUGAAAUUACUUUUGCCACAAUUUUAUAUAGAACUGUGCAUAAGUUGAUAGGUCUAAAAUUAACAAGACUUGUGGGGUUUGGUAACUUUGGGAUAAGCACAACAUCUGUAAGGUUUAGAGAGUCAAAAUCUCGUCCUUCAUUCAGUAUGCCUAAACAAAAGUUUUUGACAUCUAUACCUAUAAUGUGCUAGAAUUUUUGAAAAAAUAAAGCUGGAAAUCCAUCAUAAUCUGGUGCUUUAGUGGGCCCCAAUUCUUUCAAGGCUGAAAAUACCUCUUCUGCUGUAAAAGGUACUAGUAAAUCUGUGUUAAUAUCAGAUGAGAUAUUAGAAUGAAUACCUUUUAGAAUGUGGGAUAGAUUCCUAAUACCAUUUGACGAAAUAAAUUCUGGAAGUAAUUUGAGGCUGACUCAUUAAUUGCUGAUUCAUCAGAACUUUCCCUCCUAUCAUCAGAUUCCAGCUUAGUAAUCAUGUUUGUUCGUCUAUGAGCUGUGGCAUAUUUUUGGAAAAAGGCAUAAGUUUUGUUGCCCAAUUAAAUCCAAUUGGCUCGCGCCCUUUGUUCCCAAUACAUUUCAUCCUUAUCUAUCUCCAUAUUAAGAUGAAUUUUUGUAUCAAUCAGCUUUGUGAUUGUGUCAUCAUCUCUGUCGCCUGCCAAAAGAUCUUCAAUUUCCUUUGUGAGCUUACUCUUCAACCCAUCUCUACCCUUUUUUAUUGAGUUUGCCCACCUCCUCAAUCUUGUCUGCAGCCUUUCUAGCCUUUGAGCAAUAGUUCCAUUUGAUGACUCCCACGAUGUUUUAAUCUAUUGUUUAAUAGAUUCCUCCAUGAUCCACCAUGCCUCGAAUUUAAAACUUGGUAUCCUCUUAUAGCUAAUCUUAUUGUUGUUAUUGAUUAGUAAGGGACAAUGAUAUAAAAUCCAGUGUGUUAAAUACUAAAUAACUCCUUUUGGGAAAAGUGCCAGCCAUUUUUCAUUCGCCACUCCCCUAUCCAAUCGCUCUCUAAUAUUCAUUUUCGGUAGAUUCUGUAUCACUUCUUAACCCCGUCCCGUCGCCAGAACAGGACUACGAAGUAUUACAGGUCAUUACAGUACAUUUACACGUAAAACAGAAAUAAAUGUAAUACUGUACAUCUUAUUAUACUUUUAAUGUAUUUAAAAAGUAUAUCUUAAACAAACCGGGGCUCGAUCAGAAGCUUAAAAAAUUUUUCGUAAAAUUUCAAUGUAACACCCCUUACCCGAGACCGUUUCCGGAGUCGAGCACGAGGCAUUACUUAGCUUAUCUUACCAAUUCGGAGCAUAAAAACUAGGUUUGAAAAUUUAUUUCACUAUUUACAGCAAAUCUGUCCAAUCGCGCAGCAGUUGCUAAAUUAAUUAUAACUUGAGCUACAGAACUCGAAAUUUAAUUCCGUAAAUUUUCCCUGAAACUAGACUCAUAUAUCUACUCACCAUAAAAUUUUUAGAAUUUUUGGUUCAGCCAAUUAGUACAGUUUAUUAGUUAAAGUCUCCCCUGUUUCACCAUUCGACUAUUCUGACCUCUUGUUACUAAAAAUAAGUUUUCUCACUGUAGGAUUUUCAUAUGAAGUUCUUACUUGUUUCUACGGAAAAUAGACUCAUUAAGGAAUCUAAGCAUGUAAAUUUCAACUCAUAACCAUUUUUGUACAAUUUUUAAUUAUUUUCUAAACUCAGAACAGGGGACUCCAAAAAUAGUUCUGACCCUAUCUUACUAAAAUUCAUAUAUCUUAAAAUAUAAAUUUCCUUUUUCUACACCGUUAUUUUUCCAUGAAAAUAGACUCAUAUUUUAUUCUUUUUGCUUCCUUUUUAUAGUAUAUUCCUUUGUCGUCAUCUUCAAUUUCUAACUCCUCCGGUUUUCUUUUCCUCAAAAUACUCUCACCAUUAGCCAUGUCCGUCUCUCUAGUUGCCUCAACUCUCUUCCAGCUCGAUUUCUUUGCUAAAGAAUAAUGAGGACCAUCUCUAAUUUUAUUUUUUCUACAAGUGUAAACGUGAGGCAUUCAUUGGGCCCAUGCCCUAUCCUUCCACAGCCAAAACAAGAAGUUGGUAAUUUUUCAUAUUUAAAUGGGAUCCAGGACUUACUUUGAUUUUCUGUUGAGAUGAAAAUACCCUUGCGCAACGGUUUUUGCACAUUUAACUGAACUCUAAGUCGAUAGAAAUCACCAUUAAUUGUAGAUCUCAGAACACCUCCAAAAGUAACCCCAAUAGCAUGCAUUAAAUCUUUUUUAUCAAUUUCUGGUAGACAUGGGCCGAUCUUAACCCAGUAUGGAGAUGAAUUAAGCCGAAUUCGACUCCUCUCUAUCGAUUUAGUCAACUGAUCAAACAACAUUAAAAUUUUCCGAAACAAUCAAGGCUGCCCCUCCAUAAUUAUCUCCAGAUCUUCUUCACCUUCAAACACUAUCAAUAAUAAAUUCUGCCCUGCCAAUUGGAUCUCAAACCUUUUCCUUGUCUUCCAUAUAUUUUUCAUCUGUGCCCUAAAGCUAUCUGGAUUAUAGGAUUUUUUGUCCAUAUAGUGCAAAGUAGGGUUGGCUUAUCACUGGGUGCCACCAUCGAGCUUUUAACUGAUAACUGAAUGAAUUCUUCUGCCAAAAGGGAGAUCUCCUCUCCUGUGAACCCCUCUUCGCCACCACUUUCCUUCAUCCCAAGCCGCAUAAAGACCUGUUCUCGCUAGGAUGCUAAGGAAAGCACUCUUGACUAGGGUUUAAUUUACUAUCUAAAAUUGCAUUGAAGCAUUUUCUAAAUCCAGCACUCUUAACAAUUUUAAACUUGAGGUAGGUCUAAUCACUUGAUAAGUAUUUGUAUUAUUUAUGAUUUAGCAAUGGUUUUUAUUUAAUCUCUAAGUAAAUAUUUUGAUGAGUCUCAAUAAUCAUUAUAUUUUGCUCAAAAUUUCAAGUUAUUUGUGUAUUUGUUUAAUGAUGUAUUUUUUAUUUCUUUUAUCUUUGAUGUAGGGAAAGAUGCCACAAGGAGAGGCCGGAAUUUGGAGGAGAAAGAACUACCAACCCUCUCAUCUUAGGCAACUUUUACUUCAACUGCGGUUAGCUGAACAGUUAAUCGAAUCAAACUAGUAUUAAUU
rnacentral:lncRNA from 1 species